CCUACGGGGGGCUGCAGUGGGGAAUAUUGGACAAUGGGGGGAACCCUGAUCCAGCCAUGCCGCGUGUGUGAAGAAGGCCCUCGGGUUGUAAAGCACUUUCAGGGAGGAAGAACGCCUGGUGGUUAAUACCCAUCAGGAAAGACAUCACUCACAGAAGAAGCACCGGCUAACUCCGUGCCAGCAGCCGCGGUAAUACGGAGGGUGCGAGCGUUAAUCGGAAUUACUGGGCGUAAAGCGCGCGUAGGUGGCUUGAUAAGCCGGUUGUGAAAGCCCCGGGCUCAACCUGGGAACGGCAUCCGGAACUGUCAAGCUAGAGUGCAGGAGAGGAAGGUAGAAUUCCCGGUGUAGCGGUGAAAUGCGUAGAGAUCGGGAGGAAUACCAGUGGCGAAGGCGGCCUUCUGGACUGACACUGACACUGAGGUGCGAAAGCGUGGGUAGCAAACAGGAUUAGAUACCCCUGUAGUC
rnacentral:rRNA from 1 species